ACACAUAAAAGAUAAUCAGCGUUUAUUUGCAAGGAUGGAAUUGAAGGAAUCGGCGAGAGAGGCAGAUAAAGGAGAACUUGGAACUUAUAUAAUAUAUGCAAGGCCUGGAAGACACAUAAAGGAAACCUGACUCGGAUGGAGAUAGUAGAUUCAAGAUGAAAGCAAGAGAGAUGGUGCAUGCACAAUAUGAAGCACAAGCUUUUGGAUGUCUUCAAGUGGUGAUUAGAGAUAAGGUACUUAUGGAAGCCAUGAAAUUUGCAUCUACUAUGUGAAAGCAUCUCUGUGAAAGCACUCGCAAGAGGAGUAAAAUGAUAACGCCAUGGCUAUAUG